rnacentral:rRNA from 1 species
UGGGGAAUAUUGGACAAUGGGGGGAACCCUGAUCCAGCCAUGCCGCGUGUGUGAAGAAGGCCUUAUGGUUGUAAAGCACUUUAAGCGAGGAGGAGGGUACUGGUAUUAAUACUACCAGCUACUGGACGUUACUCGCAGAAUAAGCACCGGCUAACUCUGUGCCAGCAGCCGCGGUAAUACAGAGGGUGCGAGCGUUAAUCGGAUUUACUGGGCGUAAAGCGUGCGUAGGCGGCUAAUUGAGUCGGAUGUGAAAUCCCCGAGCUUAACUUGGGAAUUGCAUUCGAUACUGGUUAGCUAGAGUGUGGGAGAGGAUGGUAGAAUUCCAGGUGUAACGGUGAAAUGCGUAGAGAUCUGGAGGAAUACCGAUGGCGAAGGCAGCCAUCUGGCCUAACACUGACGCUGAGGUACGAAAGCAUGGGGAGCAAACAGG